rnacentral:rRNA from 1 species
AUGCACGUUUUAGUACAAGCUGAAAGUAAAGUGAAACCGCGAACAGCUCAUUAAAUCAGUCUCUAUUUACAAGAUAGAAGGGCAACCGCAUAUGGAUAACUGCGGAAAUCCUGGAGCUAAUACAUGCCAUUGACAUCGCGARGAUCGAAAGAUUYGAGCGAAGACUUUAUUAGACCGAAUUGACRUUGAAGYUUGCUUCKUYGUCUCUUGGUGACUCCGAGUAACCGACAGUUGAUCACAAGGCCARCGCGCCUGUGACGUAUCUUUCAAGGGUCUGCCUCAUCAACUAGAUGGUUCGCAAACAGCCGACCAUGGUGGCGACGGGUGACGGGGAAUUAGGGUUCGAUUCCGGAGAGGGAGCCUGAGAGAUCGCUACCACA